rnacentral:rRNA from 1 species
GUACACGCUGUGACUAGCAUAUCAAUAAGCGGAGGAAAAGAGGGCUAUUACCUACGCUUAGGAUGUUGACACACGCGCGUGCUCGACUCUAUACAUGACUCUGUGCAUAUCAAUAAGCGGAGGAAAAGAAACUAACAAGGAUUCCCCUAGUAACGGCGAGUGAAGCGGGAAGAGCUCAAAUUUGAAAUCUUAAAGGGUUUCCCUUUACGAAUUGUAGUAUAAAGAAGUGUUUUCUGUUGAGGUUUUGGUAAAAGUUCUUUGGAAUAGGACAUCAUAGAGGGUGAGAAUCCCGUAUUUGACCUUUACUUUCAACUUUGUGAUACACUUUCAAAGAGUCGGAUUGUUUGGGAAUGCAGUCCAAAAUGGGUGGUAAAUUUCAUCUAAAGCUAAAUAUUGGCGAGAGACCGAUAGCGAACAAGUACCGUGAGGGAAAGAUGAAAAGAACUUUGAAAAGAGAGUUAAACAGUACGUGAAAUUGUCAAAAGGGAAGCGUUUGACACCAGUGUUGUUUUUCUGAAAAUCAAUUAAAGAACUGUUUAUGCUAAGCUGUUUAGACUUUAUCAGCUAUCUGUUUAGUUUUGAGCUUUUCUUUAAUGCACUUUUCAGUUAACAAGUCAACAUCAAUUUCUUUUGCUGUAAAAAAGCUUGAGGAAGGUGGCUUGAGAUUCGUCUUAAGUGUUUAUAGCCUCUUGCCUAUGCAGUCGGAGAGAUUGAGGUCUGCAGCGUAGAUCCUUCGGGGCUAAAUGCAUUUGUGCUAAGUUAUAGCAUUUUAUAGACAACUUGUUGACUAUGAUUUGUCUUGUAGCUUACUCGCUUAUGUUAUUUUACCUACGCUUAGGAUGUUGAAGAUGUAGCACAUCAU